GUGAAUCAUCAAAUCUUUGAACGCAAAUUGCACUCUCCUCGGAGAGUAUGGCUGUUUGAGGGUCAGCCUAUAAAAAAUCGACAUCGUUGCUGUUUUGCGGUGACGUUCGUCGGAAAUUGGGCCAUCUUAAAUUUUUCUGGCUCUAAGCGACUUAAAAUUUUCUUUUUGGUUCCAUGAACGAUUCUAAGAUUUAUUUCUUUACACGUUUAAGGGUAUCGAUUUUUAUUAGACGUGACCACCAUUUCGGAUCGCGUCCAUAAUUUUUCAUUAACUUAACC
rnacentral:misc_RNA from 1 species